rnacentral:lncRNA from 1 species
GUUUUGUAUCUAGACGUUGCUAAAUCAGAUCUAAAAUGAAAAUUAUAAAGUCUAUUCAUGAUAAUUGAUUUAUCCCAUUUGCAUAAUAUCAUUACAGUCUAUGUAGAAAUAUCCAAGCUCUGUAUGAAGGCAUUGAUAAUUCAUUUCAUACAGCUAUUUUUCUGAUUCUGUAUUCCAACAUGGUUUUUAUUCACAAGAGUCAAGUGUUCCUUUUGUUUUUUGCUAAACUUUGUUUUGUCACUAUUUCUG